rnacentral:tRNA from 1 species
GAUACUUAAAAUUGCAAGUGUUGAUCUCUUAAAUCAAAUUAUGGUAGUAAUAGCAAAUACCCUUAGUG